CAGGCGUAGCAAUACGUGCUGACGAGCGGCAAACGGGUGAGUAACGCUUCGGAAUCUGCCCAAUGGUGGGGAAUAACCAGCCGAAAGGUUGGCUAAUACCGCAUGAGCCCUUCGGGGGAAAGCGGGGGAUCGCAAGACCUCGCGCCGAUGGAUGAGCCGAAGCCGGAUUAGCUAGUUGGUAGGGUAACGGCCUACCAAGGCGACGAUCCGUAGCUGGUCUGAGAGGACGACCAGCCACACUGGGACUGAGACACGGCCCAGACUCCUACGGGAGGCAGCAGUGGGGAAUAUUGGACAAUGGGGGAAACCCUGAUCCAGCGACGCCGCGUGUGUGAAGAAGGCCUGCGGGUUGUAAAGCACUUUUAGUGGGGAUGAAAAGCUCAGGGCUAACACCUCUGGGUCUUGACCUAACCCACAGAAAAAGCACCGGCUAACUCUGUGCCAGCAGCCGCGGUAAUACAGAGGGUGCAAGCGUUAAUCGGAAUUACUGGGCGUAAAGCGUACGUAGACGGUUGGAUAAGUCGGAUGUGAAAGCCCCGGGCUCAACCUGGGAAUGGCAUUCGAGACUGUUCAGCUAGGGUGCGGAAGAGGGAAGCGGAAUUUCCGGUGUAGCGGUGAAAUGCGUAGAUAUCGGAAGGAACACCAGUGGCGAAAGCGGCUUCCUGGUCCAGC
rnacentral:rRNA from 1 species